CGCAUCAUCAACACCUUCAGUGUGGUGCCUUCACCCAAAGUGUCUGACACCGUGGUCGAGCCCUACAAUGCCACCCUCUCCGUCCAUCAGUUGGUAGAGAACACUGAUGAGACCUAUUGCAUUGACAAUGAGGCCCUCUAUGACAUCUGCUUCCGCACUCUGAAGCUGACCACACCAGCCUACGGGGAUCUGAACCACCUCAUCUCAGCCACCAUGAGCGGUGUCACCACCUGCCCCCGCUUCCCUGGCCAGCUCAAUGCUGACCUCCGCAAGUUAGCUGUUAACAUGGUCCCCUUCCCACGUCUCCAUUUCUUUAUGCCUGGCUUUGCCCCUCUCACCAGCCGUGGAAGCCAGCAGUGUCGAGCUCUCACAGUGCCCGAACUCACCCAGCAGGUCUUCGAUGCCAAGAACAUGAUGGCUGCCUGUGACCCCUGCCACGGUGGGUACCUCACCGUGGCUGCUGUCUUCCUUGAUCGGAUGUCCAUCAAGGAGGCCGAUGAGCAGAUGCUUAAUGUGCAGAACAAGAACAGCAGCUACUUUGUGGAAUGGAUCCCAAACAAUGUCAAGAGGGCCAUCUGUGACAUCCCACCUCGUGGCCUCAAGAUGGUUGUCACUUUCAUUGGCAACAGCACAGCCAUCCAGGAGCUCUUCAAGCACAUCUCAGAGCAGUUCACUGCCAUGUUCCGCCGGAACGCCUUCCUUCAUUGGUAUACAGGUGAGGGCAUGGAUGAGAUAGAUUCACUGAGGCUGAGAGCAACAUGAAUGACCUCGUCUCCGAGUGUCAGCAGUACCAGGAUGCCCCUGCAGAAGAGGAGGAGGAUUUCGGUGAAGAGGCUGAAGAGGAGACCUAAGGCAGAGCCCCCAUCACUUCAGGCUCCUCAGUUCCCUUAGCUGUCUUACUCAACUGCCCCUUUCCUCUCCCGCAGAAUUUGUGUUUGCUGCCUCUAUCUUUUUUUUUUGCUUUGUUUUCUUCUGGGGAGUCUAGAAUAGUGCCUAGCACAUAGUAGGUGCUCAAUAAAUACUUGUUUGUUGAAUGUCUCCUCUCUCUUUCCACUCUGGGAAACCUAGGUUUCUGCCAUUCUCGGUGACCCUGUAUUUCCUUCGGGUGCCCAUUCCUUCCAUCUGUCCAGUUAAUAUUACCCUUUUAAAAAUCUCCAAGAAGCUGGAUCUCUUCCAGAUCCCAUCUAGAACCAACCAGGUGCUGAAAACAUAUGUAGAUAAUGGUAACCAUCUGAAGUGCAAAGUAGAAAAUGGUAGAAGGUAGUGGGGUAGAAGUCACUGUAAGGAAGGGGAUGGGAUUUUCCAUUCUAAAAGUUUUGGAGAGGGAAAUCCAAGCUAUUAAAAGUCAUUAAUUUCUAGGUAUUUCCAUUUCCCAUCUCAGCU